rnacentral:rRNA from 1 species
GACGAACGCUGGCGGUGUGCUUAACACAUGCAAGUCGAACGGUAAGGCCCUUUCGGGGGUACACGAGUGGCGAACGGGUGAGUAACACGUGAGUAACCUGCCCUCAUCUCUGGGAUAACAGUCGGAAACGGUUGCUAAUACUGGAUAUGAGCUUGCAAGGCAUCUUGUGGGUUGGAAAGAUUUUUUUGGUUGGGGAUGGACUCGCGGCCUAUCAGCUUGUUGGUGAGGUAGUGGCUCACCAAGGCUUCGACGGGUAGCCGGCCUGAGAGGGCGACCGGCCACAUUGGGACUGAGAUACGGCCCAAACUCCUACGGGAGGCAGCAGGGGGGAAUAUUGAACAAUGGACGGAAGGCUGAUGCAGCAACGCCGCGUGCGGGAUGACGGCCUUCGGGUUGUAAAACGCUUUCAAUUGUGACGAAGCUUUUUGUGACGGUAGCAGUAGAAGAAGCACCGGCUAACUACGUG